rnacentral:rRNA from 1 species
GACGUAGGGCGCGAGCGUUGUCCGGAUUUAUUGGGCGUAAAGAGCUCGUAGGCGGCUUGUCGCGUCGACUGUGAAAUCCCGCGGCUCAACUGCGGGUCUGCAGUCGAUACGGGCAGGCUAGAGUUCGGUAGGGGAGACUGGAAUUCCUGGUGUAGCGGUGGAAAUGACGCAGAUAUCAGGAGGAACACCGGUGGCGAAGGCGGGUCUCUGGGCCGAUACUGACGCUGAGGAGCGAAAGCGUGGGGAGCGAACAGG